UAGCAUAUCAAUAAGCGGAGGAAAAGAAACCAACAGGGAUUGCCCUAGUAACGGCGAGUGAAGCGGCAACAGCUCAAAUUUGAAAUCUGGCCCUCGGGUCCGAGUUGUAAUUUGUAGAGGAUGCUUUUGGUGAGGUACCUUCCGAGUUCCCUGGAACGGGACGCCAUAGAGGGUGAGAGCCCCGUCUGGUUGGAUACCGAUCCUCUGUAAAGCUCCUUCGACGAGUCGAGUAGUUUGGGAAUGCUGCUCUAAAUGGGAGGUAUAUGUCUUCUAAAGCUAAAUACCGGCCAGAGACCGAUAGCGCACAAGUAGAGUGAUCGAAAGAUGAAAAGCACUUUGAAAAGAGAGUUAAAAAGUACGUGAAAUUGUUGAAAGGGAAGCGCUUAUGACCAGACUUGGGCUUGGUUGAUCAUCCUGGGUUCUCCCUGGUGCACUCUUCCAGUUCAGGCCAGCAUCAGUUCGCUGCGGGGGAUAAAAGUUUUGGGAAUGUGGCUCCCUCGGGAGUGUUAUAGCCCAUUGCAUAAUACCCUGCUCCGGACUGAGGUUCGCGCAUCUGCAAGGAUGCUGGCGUAAUGGUCAUCAGCGACCCGUCUUGAAACACGGACCAAGGAGUCGUCUUCGUAUGCGAGUGUUCGGGUGUUAAACCCCUACGCGUAAUGAAAGUGAACGCAGGUGAGAGCUUCGGCGCAUCAUCGACCGAUCCUGAUGUUCUCGGAUGGAUUUGAGUAAGAGCAUACGGGGCCGGACCCGAAAGAAGGUGAACUAUGCCUGUAUAGGGUGAAGCCAGAGGAAACUCUGGUGGAGGCUCGCAGCGGUUCUGACGUGCAAAUCGAUCGUCAAAUAUGGGCAUGGGGGGCGAAAGACUAAUCGAACCUUCUAGUAGCUGGUUUCCGCGA
rnacentral:rRNA from 1 species